UACGGAGGGUGCAAGCGUUAUCCGGAUUCACUGGGUUUAAAGGGUGCGUAGGUGGGCAGGUAAGUCAGUGGUGAAAUCCCCGAGCUUAACUUGGGAACUGCCAUUGAUACUAUUUGUCUUGAAUACCGUGGAGGUUAGCGGAAUAUGUCAUGUAGCGGUGAAAUGCUUAGAUAUGACAUAGAACAUCAAUUGCGAAGGCAGCUGGCUACACAAAUAUUGACACUGAUGCACGAAAGCGUGGGGAUCAAACAGG
rnacentral:rRNA from 1 species